ACGUUAAUCGGGGCAGGGUGAGUCGACCCCUAAGGCGAGGCCGAAAGGCGUAGUCGAUGGGAAACGGGUUAAUAUUCCCGUACUUGGUGUUACUGCGAAGGGGGGACGGAGAAGGCUAUGUUGGCCGGGCGACGGUUGUCCCGGUUUAAGCGUGUAGGUGUGUGUUCCAGGUAAAUCCGGUUCACUUUAACACUGAGGCGUGACGACGAGGCACUACGGUGCUGAAGCAACAAAUGCCCUGCUUCCAGGAAAAGCCUCUAAGCAUCAGGUAACAUCAAAUCGUACCCCAAACCGACACAGGUGGUCAGGUAGAGAAUACCAAGGCGCUUGAGAGAACUCGGGUGAAGGAACUAGGCAAAAUGGUGCCGUAACUUCGGGAGAAGGCACGCUGACACGUAGGUGAAGUGAUUUACUCAUGGAGCUGAAGUCAGUCGAAGAUACCAGCUGGCUGCAACUGUUUAUUAAAAACACAGCACUGUGCAAACACGAAAGUGGACGUAUACGGUGUGACGCCUGCCCGGUGCCGGAAGGUUAAUUGAUGGGGUCAGCGCAAGCGAAGCUCCUGAUCGAAGCCCCGGUAAACGGCGGCCGUAACUAUAACGGUCCUAAGGUAGCGAAAUUCCUUGUCGGGUAAGUUCCGACCUGCACGAAUGGCGUAAUGAUGGCCAGGCUGUCUCCACCCGAGACUCAGUGAAAUUGAACUCGCUGUGAAGAUGCAGUGUACCCGCGGCAAGACGGAAAGACCCCGUGAACCUUUACUAUAGCUUGACACUGAACAUUGAGCCUUGAUGUGUAGGAUAGGUGGGAGGCUUUGAAGCGUGGACGCCAGUCUGCGUGGAGCCGACCUUGAAAUACCACCCUUUAAUGUUUGAUGUUCUAACGUGGACCCGUGAUCCGGGUUGCGGACAGUGUCUGGUGGGUAGUUUGACUGGGGCGGUCUCCUCCUAAAGAGUAACGGAGGAGCACGAAGGUUGGCUAAUCCUGGUCGGACAUCAGGAGGUUAGUGCAAUGGCAUAAGCCAGCUUGACUGCGAGCGUGACGGCGCGAGCAGGUGCGAAAGCAGGUCAUAGUGAUCCGGUGGUUCUGAAUGGAAGGGCCAUCGCUCAACGGAUAAAAGGUACUCCGGGGAUAACAGGCUGAUACCGCCCAAGAGUUCAUAUCGACGGCGGUGUUUGGCACCUCGAUGUCGGCUCAUCACAUCCUGGGGCUGAAGUAGGUCCCAAGGGUAUGGCUGUUCGCCAUUUAAAGUGGUACGCGAGCUGGGUUUAGAACGUCGUGAGACAGUUCGGUCCCUAUCUGCCGUGGGCGCUGGAGAACUGAGGGGGGCUGCUCCUAGUACGAGAGGACCGGAGUGGACGCAUCACUGGUGUUCGGGUUGUCAUGCCAAUGGCACUGCCCGGUAGCUAAAUGCGGAAGAGAUAAGUGCUGAAAGCAUCUAAGCACGAAACUUGCCCCGAG
rnacentral:rRNA from 1 species